UUUUAUUCCUACGGGAGGCAGCAGUGGGGGAAUUUUGCACAAUGGGGCCAAGCCUUAUGCAGCGACGCCGCGUGAGGGAUGACGGCCUUCGGGUUGUAAACCUCUUUCAGUAGGGAAGAAGCGAAAGUGACGGUACCUGCAGAAGAAGCGCCGGCUAACUACGUGCCAGCAGCCGCGGUAAUACGUAGGGCGCAAGCGUUAUCCGGAAUUAUUGGGCGUAAAGAGCUCGUAGGCGGUUUGUCGCGUCUGCCGUGAAAGUCCGGGGCUCAACUCCGGAUCUGCGGUGGGUACGGGCAGACUAGAGUGAUGUAGGGGAGACUGGAAUUCCUGGUGUAGCGGUGAAAUGCGCAGAUAUCAGGAGGAACACCGAUGGCGAAGGCAGGUCUCUGGGCAUUAACUGACGCUGAGGAGCGAAAGCAUGGGGAGCGAACAGGAUUAGAUACCCUGGUAGUCCAUGCCGUAAACGUUGGGCACUAGGUGUGGGGGACAUUCCACGUUUUCCGCGCCGUAGCUAACGCAUUAAGUGCCCCGCCUGGGGAGUACGGCCGCAAGGCUAAAACUCAAAGGAAUUGACGGGGGCCCGCACAAGCGGCGGAGCAUGCGGAUUAGGGUCGAUGCAACGCGAAGAACCUUACCAAGGCUUGACAUGAACCGGUAAUACCUGAAAGCGGUGUCCCCGUUCCGGGGGGGGGCGGGGGGAGG
rnacentral:rRNA from 1 species